rnacentral:rRNA from 1 species
AGUGAACGCUGGCGGUAGGCCUAACACAUGCAAGUCGAACGGCAGCACAGUAAGAGCUUGCUCUUACGGUUGGCGAGUGGCGGACGGGUGAGGAAUACAUCGGAAUCUACUUUUUCGUGGGGGAUAACGUAGGGAAACUUACGCUAAUACCGCAUACGACCUACGGGUGAAAGCAGGGGAUCUUCGGACCUUGCGCGUUUGAAUGAGCCGAUGUCGGAUUAGCUAGUUGGCGGGGUAAAGGCCCACCAAGGCGACGAUCCGUAGCUGGUCUGAGAGGAUGAUCAGCCACACUGGAACUGAGACACGGUCCAGACUCCUACGGGAGGCAGCAGUGGGGAAUAUUGGACAAUGGGCGCAAGCCUGAUCCAGCCAUACCGCGUGAGUGAAGAAGGCCUUCGGGUUGUAAAGCCCUUUUGUUGGGAAAGAAAAGCAGCAGGUUAAUACCCCGCUGUUCUGACGGUACCCAAAGAAUAAGCACCGGCUAACUUCGUG